rnacentral:rRNA from 1 species
GAUGAACGCUAGCGGGAGGCCUAACACAUGCAAGUCGAACGGGAUUUCCGAGCAAUCGGGAUGAGAGUGGCGCACGGGUGAGUAACGCGUAUGCAACCUGCCUUUAACAGAGGGAUAGCCCAUAGAAAUGUGGAUUAAUACCUCAUAGUUCUUUUGGUCCGCAUGGACUGGAAGAUAAAGCUUUGGCGGUUAAAGAUGGGCAUGCGUGACAUUAGCUAGUUGGUAAGGUAACGGCUUACCAAGGCUACGAUGUCUAGGGGUUCUGAGAGGAUGAUCCCCCA